rnacentral:misc_RNA from 1 species
AAUGACACUCUGACCAAUGAUUCUGUAUGCUUGGAACUGUGAUCACUAGAGUUGCAUUCUGGGUUACUGCCUGCACUGUCUGAAUGGUAAUAGAUGAUGGGGACUUCAGUUGGCAACGAACUAUCUUCAAUAAUAUCCUCGACCUUUUCGUCCUGGCCUUCUGUUAGUAUAUCUGUGUGAUCACUGAUUGUGUCCUGUUCUUUGGGUAAGCUUUUCUCUAUAUUGGAUCCAUCAAUUUCCUCUUCCAUGGAGUUUGAAAGCAAAUCUCUAAUAACUUUAUAUCCUCUCCGCCUCACAAUGUGCGCAAGAUCAGUUCUUCCAUGAUCAGAAAGCUCCUUCAUUGAGGGAACAUGACCCUCUGGAAGUCCAACAGCUGAUAUAAAUUCUCGGAUAUCAUUGCAAAGCUCUAUAUUGCUCUUUACCUUUCUCCCGCCCCUGGAUUUCUUUGCCGAACAGACACAAAAUCUGAAAUUUUUU